UCUCUUGGGACUGGGUCUGUUCGGCUCCUAUCGCUCUACUCUUUCAGCAAAUGGAGCACAGCCCUGCUGCACCGAGGGGGGUAGUGUUCUGCUGGGCAGUGUGGGAGCCAGGGUAUUGAUAUUCAUGCCUCAGACUCAAAUCAGGAAUUGCCAAGAGCUUGUGGGGCCGUAAGAGGAGGCUGCACUUGCCAGGAUGGGCACUGUGUGGACCGCAUCACAUGCUGCGGACUGCGCAUUCUCAGCCCUACACACUAGCUUCUCUCUGGUUCAGCUCCACCUCCACGAGACGGACCUUGACCAUUUCCUAGACUCAAAGUGAAGUCACACUGUGAAGAGUGGACUGCGGCCGACUUUUCCGGCUCUCUGGGGCCCUCCACUCUCUCGUCUGUCCUGGCGCCCAAGUACAGGAAGUGACUCAG